GAGCAAGACUCUGUCUCAAAAAAAAAGAAAAACAGAAAAAAGAAAGAAAAGGACAAGAAUGAAAAUAAAGAUCAAAUAUCAGAUAUUCAUUAAAUAGGGCAAUAAUAAAAAGAACGAAGAAAGCUGAGGUUGGGCCGGGUGCAGUGGCUCACGCCUGUAAUCCCAGCACUUUGGGAGGCCGAGGCGGGUGGAUCACGAGGUCAGGAGAUCGAGACCAUCCUGGCUAACACAGUGAAACCCCUCUCUACUAAAAAUACAAAAACAAAAUUAGCCGGGCAUCGUGGCGGGCACCUGUAGUCCCAGCUACUCAGGAGGCUGAGGUGGGAGAAUGGCAUGCACCCAGGAGGCGGAGUUUGCAGUGAGCCGAGAUUGCACCACUGCACUCCAGCCUGGGCAACAGAGCGAGACUCUGUCUCGAAAAAACAACAAAAAAAAGAAAAUCGCUUGAACCUGGGAGGCAGAGGUUGCAGUGAACCAAGAUUGUGCCACUGCACUCCAGCCUGGGCAACAAGAGUGAAACUCUACCUCAAAAAAAAAGAAAGGGGACAUAAAUACAGACACCAGAGACAUUUUAAAGUAAGAAUAUAUUAUUAGAACUUGCCCUGUGGAGACACCUAAAAAAUAAAUAAGGAAUAUUAUGAACAACUUGGACAAUAAAUUUGAAAACAGAUAAAAUGGAUUAGUUCCUACAAAAAUAUAACUUCGCUGGACUCAGUGGCUCAUGCCUGGGAUCCCAACACUCUGGGAGGCCGAGUCAGGCUGAUUGCUUUGAAGCCAGGUGUUUGAGACCAGGCUGGGCAACAUAAUAAAACCCCAUCUCUACAAAAAAUACGCACACACAAAAAAUUAGCUAGGCAUAGUGGUGCAAGCCUGUAGUCCCAGCCACUCAGGAGGCUGAGGUGGGAGGAUGGCUUGAGCUCGGGAGGUGGAGGCUGCAGUGAGCCUAGAACAUGCCACUGUACUCCAGCCUGAGCAACAGAGUGAGACCCUGUCUCAAAAAAAAAAAAAAAAAAAGACUUAAAAUCAUUUCUUUUUAAAAAUCAGUUAAAAGUAGUCCUAACAGGCCGGGCGCAGUGGCUCAUGCCUGUAAUACCAGCACUUUGGGAGGCUGAGGCAGGCGGAUCAUGAGGUCAAGAGAUCGAGACUAUCCUAGCCAACAUGGUGAAACCCCGCCUCUACUAAAAAUGCAAAAAUUAGCUGGGUGUGGUGGUGCACGCCUGUAGUCUCAACUACUCAGGAGGCUGAGGCAGGAGAAUCACUUGAACCCGGGAGGCGGAGGGUGCAGUGAGCCGAGAUCACUGUACUCCAGCCUGGUGACAGAGCGAGACUCUGUCUCAAAAAUAGUCCUAAUAUAUACACACAAAACUCUACACAGAUGACCAAG
rnacentral:lncRNA from 1 species